rnacentral:lncRNA from 1 species
GGUCAAUAAGAGGGUCCAAGAUAUUCACCCAACUGUUCCUAAUCCCUAUAACCUCCUCAGCUCACUCCCUCCGGAGAGAAAAUGGUACACAGUACUUGAUUUAAAAGAUGCUUUCUUUUGCCUGAAGUUACAUCCCUCCAGCCAGCCCAUAUUCGCCUUUGAGUGGAGAGAUUCUGAUACUGGACAAACGGGACAAUUGACCUGGACACAGUUACCCCAGGGGUUCAAAACUCACCCACCUUUUUUGAUGAGGCUCUACAUAGAGAUUUAGCCUCCUUUCAAGCUGAAAACUCCCAGAUAACUCUGCUUCAAUAUAUUGAUAACUUGCUUCUUGCUGUAACCACGGAGAGAGAAUGCUGGCAGGGGACCAAGAGAUUGCUAGCAGAAGUGGAAUUAUCCGCCAGCACCCAGACCGAUGGAUGACAAAUGCCCGGUUGACUCACUACCAGAGUCUGCUGUUUACUGAAUGGAUCGUGUUUGCUCCUCCUGCUAUUCUCAACACUGCUAUCUUCCUGCCUUAAAUGGACGAUUCCUCUCCCGUUCACUGCUGUGCAGACAUCCUUGCGGAGGAAAUUGGGAUUUGAAGUGAUUGACGUGACCAGCCAUGGCCAGGUGUUCCAAACUGGUACACAGAUGAAAGCAGUUUCCUAGUGUAAGGUAAGAGGAUGGCAGGGGUGGCAGUGGUAGAUGGUAAGCAAGUCGUGUGGGCUGGCAGCCUGCCAGAAGUUAUGUCAGCACAAAAAAAGCUGAAUUAAUUGCCCUGACCCAGGCCCUUCGGAUGGCUGAGGGCAAUCCAUCAACAUUUACACCGAUAGCUGAAAUGCUUUUGCUACAGCCCACGUCUUCGGUGCCAUCUAUAGACAAAGACGGUUGCUGACAUCAGCAGGCAAGGACAUAAAAAAUAAAGAGGAGAUUCUGAGCCUCCUUGAGGCUAUUCAUCUGCCUGCCAAAGUGGCCAUUAUACAUUGUCCUGGACAUCAAAAAGGACAUGAUGUUAUGACAAGAAGGAAUAACAUGGCUGAUGUUAAAGCUAAACAGGCUGCACUCAGCCCUAAGAUACUGCCCUUCAGGACAAUACAGAUAGAAUCUCUCCAGAAAGUUGCUCUGUCAGAACUGGAACUGUGCAGCCAGAGUUUUGAGUAUACCUACCCCUG